rnacentral:rRNA from 1 species
CCUACGAGCUGCAGCAGUGGGGAAUAUUGGACAAUGGGCGAAAGCCUGAUCCAGCCAUGCCGCGUGUGUGAAGAAGGCCUUCGGGUUGUAAAGCACUUUCAGUGGGGAAGAAAGCCUUGGGGCUAAUACCCUCGAGGAAGGACAUCACCCACAGAAGAAGCACCGGCUAACUCCGUGCCAGCAGCCGCGGUAAUACGGAGGGUGCAAGCGUUAAUCGGAAUUACUGGGCGUAAAGCGCGCGUAGGCGGUCUGAUAAGCCGGUUGUGAAAGCCCCGGGCUCAACCUGGGAACGGCAUCCGGAACUGUCAGGCUAGAGUGCAGGAGAGGAAGGUAGAAUUCCCGGUGUAGCGGUGAAAUGCGUAGAGAUCGGGAGGAAUACCAGUGGCGAAGGCGGCCUUCUGGACUGACACUGACGCUGAGGUGCGAAAGCGUGGGUAGCAAACAGGAUUAGAUACCCGGUAGUC